rnacentral:rRNA from 1 species
GACGAACGCUGGCGGCGUGCUUAACACAUGCAAGUCGAACGGAAAGGCCCGGCUUUUGUUGGGUGCUCGAGUGGCGAACGGGUGAGUAACACGUGAGUAACCUGCCCUUGACUUUGGGAUAACUUCAGGAAACUGGGGCGAAUACCGGAUAGGAGCUCCUGCUCCAUGGGGGGGGUUGGAAAGUUUCGGCUGUUGGGGAUGGACUCGCGGCUUAUGCGCUUGUUGGUGGGGUAGUGGCUUACCAAGGCUAUGACGGGUAGCCGGCCUGAGAGGGUGACCGGCCACAUUGGGACUGAGAUACGGCCCAGACGCCUACGGGAGGCAGCAGUGGGGAAUAUUGCACAAUGGGCGGAAGCCUGAUGCAGCAACGCCGCGUGCGGGAUGACGGCCUUCGGGUUGUAAACCGCUUUCGACUGUGACGAAGCGUGAGUGACGGUAAUGGGUAAAGAAGCACCGGCUAACUACGUG